UAGGCCUCGGGCGGCAGCAGUAGGGAAUCUUCCACAAUGGGCGAAAGCCUGAUGGAGCAACGCCGCGUGGGUGAAGAAGGUCUUCGGAUCGUAAAACCCUGUUGUUAGAGAAGAAAGUGCGUGAGAGUAACUGUUCACGUUUCGACGGUAUCUAACCAGAAAGCCACGGCUAACUACGUGCCAGCAGCCGCGGUAAUACGUAGGUGGCAAGCGUUGUCCGGAUUUAUUGGGCGUAAAGCGAGUGCAGGCGGUCCAAUAAGUAUG
rnacentral:rRNA from 1 species